ensembl:piRNA 21ur-5137 ncRNA
UUUUACUUUAUUGUGCAAUAC